rnacentral:rRNA from 1 species
UACAGAGGUCUCAAGCGUUGUUCGGAUUCAUUGGGCGUAAAGGGUGCGUAGGCGGCGCGGUAAGUCGGGUGUGAAAUUUCGAGGCUUAACUUCGAAACUGCAUUCGAUACUGCCGUGCUUGAGGACUGGAGAGGAGACUGGAAUUUACGGUGUAGCGGUGAAAUGCGUAGAUAUCGUAAGGAAGACCAGUGGCGAAGGCGGGUCUCUGGACAGUUUCCUGACGCUGAGGCACGAAGGUCAGGGGGAGCAAAACGGGG